CCUACGGGAGGCUGCAGUGGGGAAUAUUGGGCAAUGGGCGCAAGCCUGACCCAGCAACGCCGCGUGAAGGAAGAAGGCUUUCGGGUUGUAAACUUCUUUUCUCAGGGACGAAGAAAGUGACGGUACCUGAGGAAUAAGCCACGGAUAACUACGUGCCAGCAGCCGCGGUACUACGUAGGUGGCAAGCGUUAUCCGGAUUUAUUGGGUGUAAGGGGCGUGUAGGCGGUAGCGCAAGUCAGAUGUGAAAACUCAGGUCUCAACCCUGAGCCUGCAGUUGAAACUGUGUUUCUUGAGUGCUGGAGAGGCAAUCGGAAGUCGGUGUGUAGCGGUGAAAUGCGUAGAUAUACGGAGGAACACCAGUGGCGAAGGCGGAUUGCUGGACAGUAACUGACGCUGAGGCGCGAAAGCGUGGGGAGCAAACAGGAUUAGAUACCCCAGUAGUC
rnacentral:rRNA from 1 species